CCUACGGGUGGCAGCAGUGAGGAAUAUUGGGCAAUGGAGGCAACUCUGACCCAGCCAUGCCGCGUGAGUGAAGAAGGUUUUCGGAUUGUAAAGCUCUUUCGGAUGUGACGAUGAUGACGGUAGCAUCUAAAGAAGCCCCGGCUAACUUCGUGCCAGCAGCCGCGGUAAUACGUAGGGGGCAAGCGUUAUCCGGAUUUACUGGGUGUAAAGGGAGCGUAGACGGUUAUGUAAGUCUGGAGUGAAAGCCCGGGGCCCAACCCCGGGACUGCUUUGGAAACUGUGUAACUGGAGUACAGGAGGGGCAGGCGGAAUUCCUGGUGUAGCGGUGAAAUGCGUAGAUAUCAGGAGGAACACCGGCGGCGAAGGCGGCCUGCUGGACUGAAACUGACGUUGAGGCUCGAAAGCGUGGGGAGCAAACAGGAUUAGAUACCCUUGUAGUC
rnacentral:rRNA from 1 species